rnacentral:hammerhead_ribozyme from 1 species
CGCCAGCUGAAGAGUCCCAAACAGGACGAAACAGCUGUCCAGUGC